UUAAUUGUACAUGUCUAUUUUCAAGGUUGCAAGGUAUAUGUUUAAAGACCGGAGCUCUGAUGUUUUUCUACAGUUCAUGAAGGCAGUCAGUAAGAGGUAUAGCUGACUAAGGAAAAACCAUGCAGUCUGUAUUCAUCUGUAUUGCAUUGACUUGUGCGUUGGUGUAUGUCAAACGCACCGAGGCGCUCAGCGCUCCACAGCCGGACCUGCCCGAUGCAGAGACUGUUGAAAAACGGGGGUUGGUAGAUGACAUGAUUGAUCAACUUCUGAUGGGUUUACUUGAGGGAAAAAAGGGAACUAGCUGUUGAAAGAGCCGUGUCGGAGAAGGAAAAGAUCAACAUGAUAGUUCUGGGUCAC